GCUGGGACCCUCCAAGAGGGGUAGGAUUCAUUGCUGCUCAUAGCAUCACAUGUCUGGUGCUCACUCACACAUGCUCCUUGGUGGUUCAUCGGCUUGAUUUCCUGUCCCUCACAGAUCUCUGCCUAAUUGAAGUAUUGGCUGUAUCCUGCUCUGACACGUGAGCUGAGAUAGCACCUCGGGGCUGCAGGCUCACCACGCAAAAGGGACAGCAGAGGCCUCGGGAGCAAGCACUGCUCUGGUAGAUGCAGUGAUAGCUCCAAAGGGAAGGAAGCAAUGCCCGCCGCAGGAGCUGGCUGUAAUUGAACGAUCCCGCAAGGCAGACUCGGGCGCUCACGAGAUGAUACUUCAGAGCAAACAUCAUCAAGAUAAGGAAGUCUUUUUUUUUUUUCUUUUUCUCAAAAAGAUCAAGUCACUCUUAUCUUGUAGGUAAUUUCCUGCAGCCCAUAUUACAGGAAUUAAUUCCCUUGUCCAUUCUUCUCAACGCAGACUGGUAUUUUCAGACCAAAGUACUGCAAGUGCACUGUAUCUUGACCAAGAACAGCAGCAAAUGUCUUCAGCUAUUCUACAGGCAAUGGCGAUUUCCCUGUACACCUGAUAGGAAAUGAAGCUUCUGCUAGCAAGUGUUCCUUUCCAGAUUCAGUCAUUGUAAAGGUGCUGGGUCAGGUGGGGUGAGCACCGUCCUCCUGCUUUCUCCUCCACUCAUUUCCAAAGCUGCACCCCAAAACCUGCCUCUUCAGAAAGGAACUACAAACAAAGCCUGCAGCACAGCCACCUGAGUGGAGCCUGAAGGAGGCACAGAGCAUGGCCGACCUCCAGAGCCUGUGAGCUGCAGCAAUGGAAGAAAAGCUACUGAAGAUACACAUUGCUCCAAAGAGAGUGAGAAGAGAUUGCUGCGGCCAUUGGCCAAAGAACAGGGACACUGCGGUGUGGCCGCCUGGGCACUGCGGUGUGGCUGCCAGCGUGCUGUACAUCCUCAGCACUGCAGCGCAGGCCUGGGGCUGCACAGCCCACUGCCCUCCUGGCUGUCCAUGCUUACCAGCACCUUUCUUACUGAGGAAGUCGGGCUUGUCCAGCUCAGAGAGGGACCUCGGUGUGGCCUUCAGUGCUGUAAGGGAACUUGUGAGCUGGAAGUGGAGAGACCGCACACAGUCUGAUAGCGACAGGACACGGGGAAAUGAAA